rnacentral:rRNA from 10 species
UUUGACCUCGAAUCAGGUAGGGAUACCCGCUGAACUUAAGC